AAAUUGAAGAGUUUGAUCAUGGCUCAGAUUGAACGCUGGCGGCAGGCCUAACACAUGCAAGUCGAGCGGAAACGAGUUAUCUGAACCUUCGGGGGACGAUAACGGCGUCGAGCGGCGGACGGGUGAGUAAUGCCUAGGAAAUUGCCCUGAUGUGGGGGAUAACCAUUGGAAACGAUGGCUAAUACCGCAUAAUGCCUACGGGCCAAAGAGGGGGACCUUCGGGCCUCUCGCGUCAGGAUAUGCCUAGGUGGGAUUAGCUAGUUGGUGAGGUAAGGGCUCACCAAGGCGACGAUCCCUAGCUGGUCUGAGAGGAUGAUCAGCCACACUGGAACUGAGACACGGUCCAGACUCCUACGGGAGGCAGCAGUGGGGAAUAUUGCACAAUGGGCGCAAGCCUGAUGCAGCCAUGCCGCGUGUGUGAAGAAGGCCUUCGGGUUGUAAAGCACUUUCAGUCGUGAGGAAGGUAGUGUAGUUAAUAGCUGCAUUAUUUGACGUUAGCGACAGAAGAAGCACCGGCUAACUCCGUGCCAGCAGCCGCGGUAAUACGGAGGGUGCGAGCGUUAAUCGGAAUUACUGGGCGUAAAGCGCAUGCAGGUGGUUUGUUAAGUCAGAUGUGAAAGCCCGGGGCUCAACCUCGGAAUAGCAUUUGAAACUGGCAGACUAGAGUACUGUAGAGGGGGGUAGAAUUUCAGGUGUAGCGGUGAAAUGCGUAGAGAUCUGAAGGAAUACCGGUGGCGAAGGCGGCCCCCUGGACAGAUACUGACACUCAGAUGCGAAAGCGUGGGGAGCAAACAGGAUUAGAUACCCUGGUAGUCCACGCCGUAAACGAUGUCUACUUGGAGGUUGUGGCCUUGAGCCGUGGCUUUCGGAGCUAACGCGUUAAGUAGACCGCCUGGGGAGUACGGUCGCAAGAUUAAAACUCAAAUGAAUUGACGGGGGCCCGCACAAGCGGUGGAGCAUGUGGUUUAAUUCGAUGCAACGCGAAGAACCUUACCUACUCUUGACAUCCAGAGAACUUUCCAGAGAUGGAUUGGUGCCUUCGGGAACUCUGAGACAGGUGCUGCAUGGCUGUCGUCAGCUCGUGUUGUGAAAUGUUGGGUUAAGUCCCGCAACGAGCGCAACCCUUAUCCUUGUUUGCCAGCGAGUAAUGUCGGGAACUCCAGGGAGACUGCCGGUGAUAAACCGGAGGAAGGUGGGGACGACGUCAAGUCAUCAUGGCCCUUACGAGUAGGGCUACACACGUGCUACAAUGGCGCAUACAGAGGGCGGCCAACUUGCGAAAGUGAGCGAAUCCCAAAAAGUGCGUCGUAGUCCGGAUUGGAGUCUGCAACUCGACUCCAUGAAGUCGGAAUCGCUAGUAAUCGUGGAUCAGAAUGCCACGGUGAAUACGUUCCCGGGCCUUGUACACACCGCCCGUCACACCAUGGGAGUGGGCUGCAAAAGAAGUAGGUAGUUUAACCUUCGGGGGGACGCUUACCACUUUGUGGUUCAUGACUGGGGUGAAGUCGUAACAAGGUAGCGCUAGGGGAACCUGGCGCUGGAUCACCUCCUUAAACGAUGAU
rnacentral:rRNA from 1 species